rnacentral:pre_miRNA from 1 species
CAUGUACUCCCUCCGUCCGAAAAUACUUGUCAUUGAAAUGGAUGCAUCUAGAUGUAUUUUAGUUCUAGACACAUCCAUUUUGAUGACAAGUAAUUCUGGACGGAGGGAGUACUUG